rnacentral:pre_miRNA from 1 species
UUUAUUUUUUCAUGUCUAACUUUUGAUUAUUUAUUUUAUUUAAAUUUUUUGAUUAAUAUUUUUAUUGUUACUAGAUGAUAAAAUAUGAAUAAUAUUUUAUACGUGACUAAAUUUUUUAAGUUUCUCCACAAAUUUUUCAAAUAAGUUAAAUGGUCAAACGUUGAACAAGAAAAAACA